rnacentral:tRNA from 1 species
GGGGAAUUAGCUCAGCUGGGAGAGCGUCCGCCUUGCACGCGGAAGGUCAGGGGUUCGAUCCCCCUAUUCUCCACCA